AAAUAAUCCACACGUUGAUGCUACCAGAAAAAUCACGUAACCCCGAUUUUCCCCUCGCUAGGCUCGUUUUACGUGACACACGUAAAAAUAAUGUGAAAGUGUACUGGCAAAAAAAUGUUUUCACGUUGAUGUUACGUGAAAAGCCUUAUGGUAUUUUUCCACUAGGGUUUUCCUUGUAGUUUUUAUGUGUUUUGAAAUGUAACUUCAACGGAACUCGAAUGCACCAUUCGACGAAAUUUCUACGUGAUUAUUUUAGUAUGAAAAUUGAUGGCGUCCGGCGAAGACUGGCUGCCGAACUUGUUCUCGCAAAAUUUCAUCAAAAAUAGAACAGAAGCGGCCGAACUCUAGAAGCAGCACACUUUUACCGGUGGCCACUUGGAUUCUGGCCAGUUCUAAUAUAAGCGGUUGGUCGUGGUGAUCGACGCAACCGAACAUGUCACGGACAUUGCGGACACUUGCCGGUGUGCUCCGGAAGAGUGUGAUGUUUAUUUGCGGCCAACUUCUCGUCGGCCUUGGCCAGUGUGGUGCCCUCGCCAAAGUUGUUCGAAGCAACAAGCUGUAUCCGGCAAGAUCAACGAACCCGUGCAAGGAAUUUGAGAGCUGAACGUGGUCGCCCCAAUCAUCUUUAACAUCUUUCUGGCCAUGCCAUACUGGCCAACCAUCCGAGAACCCAACUUGAUCGGAAACUUUGCCUAGUUGCUCACAAAGAACCCCCCCUGGUGAUGUGCAGCCACGUUAACGUGGCACGGACAGAAGUACCGCAACUAACGACAACGACUUUGAAACGACACAAAGUGCAGCGGAAACAGAAAGCUACGCACGGUUUCAUGAGAGACUGGGCCAUUUUUUACCAUGUUAGCAAAGGAAAAUUGAAUAAAACUAUGUUUUAAAUUUGAA